AUUGAACGCUGGCGGCAUGCCUUACACAUGCAAGUCGAACGGUAACAGGUCUUCGGAUGCUGACGAGUGGCGAACGGGUGAGUAAUACAUCGGAACGUGCCUAGUAGUGGGGGAUAACUACUCGAAAGAGUGGCUAAUACCGCAUGAGAUCUACGGAUGAAAGCAGGGGAUCGCAAGACCUUGUGCUACUAGAGCGGCCGAUGGCAGAUUAGGUAGUUGGUGGGAUAAAAGCUUACCAAGCCGACGAUCUGUAGCUGGUCUGAGAGGACGAUCAGCGACACUGGGACUGAGACACGGCCCAGGCUCCUACGGGAGGCAGCAGUGGGGAAUUUUGGACAAUGGGCGCAAGCCAGAUCCAGCAAUGCCGCGUGCAGGAUGAAAGUCUUCGGGUUGUAAACUGCUUUUGUACGGAACGAAAAGCCCCGGGUUAAUACCCUGGGGUCAUGACGGUACCGUAAGAAUAAGCACCGGCUAACUACGUGCCAGCCGCCGCCGUAA
rnacentral:rRNA from 1 species